CCGAGCGCCCGGAUCGCUGGGAGGGCAGGACCGGCCUAGUAACCCCAGACAACAUGCACUGCCCAGUGCGCUCAGUCCUACUUGUCGAAACCCUGAAGGAAGCUGAGUGUGCGGACAGCAACGAUGGGGAACCCGGAGGAGCCGUGGGAGCUGGUCUGGGAAGCAGCACAUGGAGCAUUACCAGCCGCCUCUCUCCAUCGGAGGAACACAGAAGUGGGCUGAGGCUUUUGAGGGGAGAAAAACCGGUUUCGCUGCUGUUCUGAGCUGAGAGGCAGUUUCCCUCCGCCGCCGCCGUGGGCUGGGGUCACACCCAGAAGGCCCCUCCUGUGCUGCCACCCCCACAUUCCACUCCCGGACUGGGGCGAGACCAGCUUUCUGCUCAAAACCCACAGACGGCGGUCACCUAAUAUUGUCACGCUAAAUCGCAGCUACCCACGUGGCCGUGACACCAAGAAUGCAUCGUUUCACUUGCCUCAAUGUUCUGUCUCCUGUGUCCUGGAGAGACUUCUGGAUGGUUUCGGUCUGGGAUGAACCUACUCUGUUUGCAAAAUAAAAACAAGGAAGUCAA